UUCAUUUUAUCCGGUAUGAAUUGAAUUAAGGUCAUUGCAUUAGUCUGAUUUGAUUCGAACUGUUCGUAUUUCACCAGCCGAUCCCACCCGGAGCAAUGAAGUUGUUGAUCGUUGUAUGCGUUCUGGCGGUUGCCAGUGCCGAAAUGGUUAUGAAAGGGUAUCCCAAACCUAUGACCUACAUCUGCAACUUUUCGGAUGAUCUGUGUGGUUUCCAUAGCAACAUUACUAAACUUGAAUGGACUGUUGUCAGCGAUAAGGAUGGUCGAUAUUUAAAAACAGAAGCAAAAGGUGAUAUGGACAAGAGCGCUGUUGCCAUUUCCAGAUGCUACUCAGUAACUAACCACUAUCUCUGCCUCUCAUUCCGAUACUCCAUCACCGGGAGUAGUGAUAAUAAGAUGACCAUCCAACAAAAAGGUGGGGACAAGUCUCAAGUAUGGUCAUCUGCUACCAGCUCUCUUAAUAAGGGGUGGACCGAAGAAAAGGUGGCAGUGUCCUUACUUCCAUUACAAAGGAAAGCACAAUUUGUGUUCACAGCAUUCCUUGGUGGAAAGCCAGGCAACUCAGUUAGUAUUGAUGACAUCACCCUUAUCCCGUCGUCUUGUUAAUUAUCAACUGUAUGUGACAACUUAACAUAAUAUACAAAUAAAUAUGAAUUGUAUGACACGAACAAAUAAAUUUGCAUUACCUUGA